rnacentral:lncRNA from 1 species
AUGACUGCUGAGUGUGAGGAAUCUAAGGCAGGAGACAGGAUGGACCCACACAGGCCUGCAGAACCGGUCCCGUUGGGAGAAGAGAGAGGGCCUUCAGUUUGGGCUCCAACAUUAUGCACGGUAUACAGGACGGCGUGUUGGGAGAAGAGAGAGGGCCUUCAGUUUGGGCUCCAACAUUAUGCACGGUGUACAGGACGGCGUGUUGGGAGAAGAGAGAGGGCCUUCAGUUUGGGCUCCAACAUUAUGCACGGGUUACAGGACGGCGUGUUGGGAGAAGAGAGAGGGCCUUCAGUUUGGGCUCCAACAUUAUGCACGGGUUACAGGACGGCGUGUUGGGAGAAGAGAGAGGGCCUUCAGUUUGGGCUCCAACAUUAUGCACGGGUUACAGGACGGCGUGUUGGGAGAAGAGAGAGGGCCUUCAGUUUGGGCUCCAACAUUAUGCACGGGUUACAGGACGGCGUGUUGGGAGAAGAGAGAGGGCCUUCAGUUUGGGCUCCAACAUUAUGCACGGUGUACAGGACGGUGUGUUGGGAGAAGAGAGAGGGCCUUCAGUCUGGGCUCCAACAUUAUGCACGGGUUACAGGACGGUGUGUUGGGAGAAGAGAGAGGGCCUUCAGUUUGGGCUCCAACAUUAUGCACGGGUUACAGGACGGUGUGUUGGGAGAAGAGAGAGGGCCUUCAGUCUGGGCUCCAACAUUAUGCACGGGUUACAGGACGGCGUGUUGGGAGAAGAGAGAGGGCCUUCAGUUUGGGCUCCAACAUUAUGCACGGUAUACAGGACGGCGUGUUGGGAGAAGAGAGAGGGCCUUCAGUCUGGGCUCCAACAUUAUGCACGGGUUACAGGACGGCGUGUUGGGAGAAGAGAGAGGGCCUUCAGUUUGGGCUCCAACAUUAUGCACGGGUUACAGGACGGCGUGUUGGGAGAAGAGAGAGGGCCUUCAGUUUGGGCUCCAACAUUAUGCACGGUGUACAGGACGGCGUGUUGGGAGAAGAGAGAGGGCCUUCAGUUUGGGCUCCAACAUUAUGCACGGGUUACAGGACGGCGUGUUGGGAGAAGAGAGAGGGCCUUCAGUUUGGGCUCCAACAUUAUGCACGGUGUACAGGACGGAGUGUUGGGAGAAGAGAGAGGGCCUUCAGUUUGGGCUCCAACAUUAUGCACGGGUUACAGGACGGCGUGUUGGGAGAAGAGAGAGGGCCUUCAGUUUGGGCUCCAACAUUAUGCACGGUGUACGACAUCAUAGGAAGGAGGUAGGGAAGAGUAUUAUUGAGGUGGAUGAUUGA